UCUGAAAGAGAAACAGAAACUCCUCGGCCUUGAUGAGCACUCCCUCAUACUGGAUGUGAGAACCAGGUGGAACAGUCUCUUCCUGAUGGUAGAGCGAUUCAUUGAACAGUACCCUGCCAUCCAGGCUGCUGCAAGGGACCCACGCAUAAAGAAGGCCAUGGACAGAGACAGGUUAGAGAGGGUGUCAGAUGAUGACAUAAGCAUGUGUG